rnacentral:rRNA from 1 species
UACUAGAGUAGCACUCGCAUAUCAAUAAGCGGAGGAAAAGAAACUAACAAGGAUUCCCCUAGUAACGGCGAGUGAAGCGGGAAGAGCUCAAAUUUGAAAUCUUAAAGGGUUUCCCUUUACGAAUUGUAGUUUAAAGAAGUGUUUUCUGUUGAGGUUUUGGUAAAAGUUCUUUGGAAUAGGACAUCAUAGAGGGUGAGAAUCCCGUAUUUGACCUUUACUUUCAACUUUGUGAUACACUUUCAAAGAGUCGGAUUGUUUGGGGAUGCAGUCCAAAAUGGGUGGUAAAUUUCAUCUAAAGCUAAAUAUUGGCGAGAGACCGAUAGCGAACAAGUACCGUGAGGGAAAGAUGAAAAGAACUUUGAAAAGAGAGUUAAACAGUACGUGAAAUUGUCAAAAGGGAAGCGUUUGACACCAGUGUUGUUUUUCUGAAAAUCAAUUAAAGAACUGUCUAUGCUAAGCUGUUUAGACUUUAUCAGCUAUCUGUUUAGUUUUGAGCUUUUCUUUAAUGCACUUUUCAGUUAACAAGUCAACAUCAAUUUCUUUUGCUGUAAAAAAGCUUGAGGAAGGUGGCUUGAGAUUCGUCUUAAGUGUUUAUAGCCUCUUGCCUAUGCAGUCGGAGAGAUUGAGGUCUGCAGCGUAGAUCCUUCGGGGCUAAAUGCAUUUGUGCUAAGUUAUAGCAUUUUAUAGACAACUUGUUGACUAUGAUUUGUCUUGUAGCUUACUCGCUUAUGUUAUUUUACCUACGCUUAGGAUGUUGAGCGCAUGUCUCUCUCU